rnacentral:tRNA from 1 species
GCGGAUAUGGCGGAAUUGGCAGACGCGCUGGUUUUAGGUACCAGUGGGUAUCCCGUGCAGGUUCAAGUCCUGUUAUCCGCA